rnacentral:rRNA from 1 species
CCUACGGGGGGCUGCAGUGGGGAAUAUUGCACAAUGGGCGCAAGCCUGAUGCAGCCAUGCCGCGUGUGUGAAGAAGGCCUUCGGGUUGUAAAGCACUUUCAGCGGGGAGGAAGGCGUUAAGGUUAAUAACCUUGGCGAUUGACGUUACCCGCAGAAGAAGCACCGGCUAACUCCGUGCCAGCAGCCGCGGUAAUACGGAGGGUGCAAGCGUUAAUCGGAAUUACUGGGCGUAAAGCGCACGCAGGCGGUCUGUCAAGUCGGAUGUGAAAUCCCCGGGCUCAACCUGGGAACUGCAUUCGAAACUGGCAGGCUAGAGUCUUGUAGAGGGGGGUAGAAUUCCAGGUGUAGCGGUGAAAUGCGUGGAGAUCUGGAGGAAUACCGGUGGCGAAGGCGGCCCCCUGGACAAAGACUGACGCUCAGGUGCGAAAGCGUGGGGAGCAAACAGGAUUAGAUACCCUUGUAGUC